rnacentral:rRNA from 1 species
UACGAAGGGGGCUAGCGUUGCUCGGAAUCACUGGGCGUAAAGGGCGCGUAGGCGGCCGAUCAAGUCGGGGGUGAAAGCCUGUGGCUCAACCACAGGAUUGCCUUCGAUACUGUUUGGCUAGAGACCGGAAGAGGUUAGUGGAACUGCGCGUGUAGAGGUGAAAUUCGUAGAUAUUCGCAAGAACACCAAUUGCGAAGGCGGCUAACUGGGCCGGUUCUGACGCUGAGGCGCGAAAGCGUGGGGAGCAAACAGG